AAAAAUAUCGACCAGCAGUAAGUUGCUGUAAAACCUACAGUGUAAUUCAGUAUUUUUCAGACUUGUUUCUUGGGUCCGCCCACAAUUCGUCCAACCGAGCUUCAUUUCACCUGGCCGACCCUGCUAAAUCCAUCCUACUGCAUCGUGUGUUUUUGAUAACAAGUUGCUGGUGACAAAGUCACAAUAAAACGUUGGAUGAUCAGCAUGGAAGGUGAUGUCAUCUGCAAAGGCGUCCAACCUAGCUUAAUCUCAGGGCUUGCUGCCCUUCUUGCCACAUACUAUGUGUUCAACUUGGAAUACCAAGAGGAAGGUCCUCGGACAUUGGAAUUUGUUCAAAGGGACCGAAGCACCAGUUUGACUCUAGGAUACAGAGAAGGUAGGUAAUGUGC